rnacentral:rRNA from 1 species
ACGCUAGCGGCAGGCCUUAUACAUGCAAGUCGAACGGUAACAUUGGUGCUUGCACCAGAUGACGAGUGGCGCACGGGUGCGUAACGCGUAUGCAACCUACCUUUUACUAGAGUAUAGCCCAGAGAAAUUUGGAUUAAUCCUCUAUAACAUCUUUAAAUUUCAUGAUUUUUAGAUUAAAGUUUUAAUGGUAAAAGAUGGGCAUGCGUCCUAUUAGUUUGUAGGUGAGGUAACGGCUCACCUAGACUACGAUAGGUAGGGGCCCUGAGAGGGGGAUCCCCCACACUGGUACUGAGACACGGACCAGACUCCUACGGGAGGCAGCAGUAAGGAAUAUUGGACAAUGGACGAAAGUCUGAUCCAGCCAUGCCGCGUGCAGGAUGAAAGCCCUAUGGGUUGUAAACUGCUUUUAUACAGGAAGAAAAACUCCGACGUGUCGGAGCUUGACGGUACGUAAGAAUAAGGAUCGGCUAAC